rnacentral:lncRNA from 1 species
CCCAACCAAACAAGGGUACUUCUUUUUGCAGUGACUAAAGUGUUCUUUCCUCCCACAUCCCCAAUUGUUCAAUAUAUAAUUAGAGGCUGCAAUCACAAGAAAAAAAAAAAAAAAAAAAAAAAACAGGGCAAAGAAUAAAAAAAAAAAAAACGUCAAUUAGAGGAGCAAAUAAAAACUGUUAUAAAUUCAGUGAUGCAAAGACAUAUGCAUUCACAGCUGGGCAGGUUAAAAAC